rnacentral:rRNA from 1 species
UACGUAGGGGGCAAGCGUUGUCCGGAAUCAUUGGGCGUAAAGCGCGCGUAGGCGGCUCGAUCAGUCUGCUGUGAAAGUCAAAGGCUCAACCUUUGAAUGCCGGUGGAUACUGUCGAGCUGGAGUCCGGAAGAGGCGAGUGGAAUUCCUGGUGUAGCGGUGGAAUGCGCAGAUAUCAGGAGGAACACCGAUGGCGAAGGCAGCUCUCUGGGACGGUACUGACACUGAGACGCGAAAGCGUGGGGAGCGAACAGG